AUACGGAGGGGGUUAGCGUUGUUCGGAAUCACUGGGCGUAAAGCGCACGUAGGCGGACUGGAAAGUUGGGGGUGAAAUCCCGGGGCUCAACCCCGGAACUGCCUCCAAAACUUCCAAUCUAGAGAUCGAGAGAGGUGAGUGGAAUUCCAAGUGUAGAGGUGAAAUUCGUAGAUAUUUGGAGGAACACCAGUGGCGAAGGCGGCUCACUGGCUCGAUACUGACGCUGAGGUGCGAAAGCGUGGGGAGCAAACAGGAUUAGAAACCCCGGUAGUCC
rnacentral:rRNA from 1 species